rnacentral:rRNA from 1 species
AUUGAACGCUGGCGGCAUGCCUAACACAUGCAAGUCGAACGGGGGCAGCAAUGCCCUAGUGGCGGACGGGUGAGGAAUACGUAGGAACCGGCCCACGAGUGGGGGACAACCUGGGGAAACCCAGGCUAAUACCGCAUACGCUCGCGAGAGGAAAGCGGGGGACCUUCGGGCCUCGCGCUGGUGGACGGGCCUACGUCCGAUUAGCUUGUUGGUGGGUAAAAGCCUACCAAGGCGACGAUCGGGGUAGCGUGGUCUGAGAGGAUGAUCAGCCACACUGGGACUGAGACACGGCCCAGACUCCUACGGGAGGCAGCAGUGGGAAUAUUGGACAAUGGGCGCAAGCCUGAUCCAGCAAUGCCGCGUGGGUGAAGAAGGCCUGCGGGUUGUAAAGCCCUUUAAGCGGGAGGAAAGCCGGGGGUGAGUAGCGCCUCGGGGUGACGGUUACCC